rnacentral:misc_RNA from 1 species
CGCACAUUGCGCCCUCCGGCAUUCCGGGGGGCAUGCCUGUCCGAGCGUCAUGAACGCCCUUCAAGCUCCGGCUUGGUCUUGAGCCUGCGUCCUGGGGACGGGCUUCAAAGUCAGCGGCCGGGCGGCCGAGCUUCAAGCGCAGUCGAAUCGCAUUCGCUUUGGAAGCCUCGGUCGCGCGUGCCUCGUCCGGGAGGGAUGGACACCGUUUCGGCGAUGCCUGUCCCCCACCUUUUGUCUACGAUUGACCUCGGAUCAGGUAAGGAUACCCGCUGAACUUAA